rnacentral:rRNA from 1 species
GAUGAACGCUAGCUACAGGCUUAACACAUGCAAGUCGAGGGGAAACGAUGAGAGAGCUUGCUCUCUUAGUCGUCGACCGGCGCACGGGUGAGUAACGCGUAUCCAACCUGCCUCUGACUAAGGGAUAACCCGUCGAAAGUCGGACUAAUACCUUAUGCAGUCGUCGGAAGUCAUCUGAUGACGACGAAAGAUUUCAUCGGUGAGAGAUGGGGAUGCGUCUGAUUAGCUUGUUGGCGGGGUAACGGCCCACCAAGGCGACGAUCAGUAGGGGUUCUGAGAGGAAGGUCCCCCACAUUGGAACUGAGACACGGUCCAAACUCCUACGGGAGGCAGCAGUGAGGAAUAUUGGUCAAUGGGCGAGAGCCUGAACCAGCCAAGUAGCGUGCAGGAUGACGGCCCUAUGGGUUGUAAACUGCUUUUAUGCGGGGAUAAAGUGAGGGACGUGUCCUUCAUUGCAGGUA